rnacentral:rRNA from 1 species
UACGUAGGGUGCAAACGUUGCUCGGAAUUACUGGGCGUAAAGCGCGUGUAGGCGGUCACGCAAGUCAGGUGUGAAAGCCCAGGGCUCAACCCUGGAAGUGCACAUGAUACUACGUGGCUGGAGUACUGAAGAGGAGAGCGGAAUUCCCGGUGUAGAGGUGAAAUUCGUAGAUAUCGGGAGGAACACCGGUGGCGAAGGCGGCGAUCUGGGUAGAUACUGACGCUGAGGUGCGAAAGCGUGGGGAGCAAACAGGG